UCAGCCACAACACACACACUAACACCUAAAACACACACACACUUCACGCAUAACACCAUUUUCUUUGGUGUUGGAGCUUUUGACCUCCGAUUUGAGCACCGAGACGAGCGUCGAUCAUCUUUUCGAUCACGUAUCUAAGUAGGUCCUUUUGGGAAGUAACGACUUGAGGGAGAGAGUGACGUUACUCAUUGAUACAGAGACACAACGAGGUUGAGCUGAUGUGAUGAUGGUGCUGCAAUGAGCGGAGUCUCCAGGGUUGUUAAUAAAUAGUUAACCUGUCUAGAAUAUGUCUUCAUACAUAUGUCUAGCUACUUUCCGCUGCAAGAUGUUGUUGAUGUUAUAGUAUGUUAUGUCAUACUUUGAGUCUUAAGAGAAUGGUUUCAUACGAUGUAUAACUUGAUUAAUGAUAUUAAUUAAGUUUUAUGCUGUCUUUCA